rnacentral:rRNA from 1 species
GACGUAGGAGGCGAGCGUUGUCCGGAUUCAUUGGGCGUAAAGAGCGCGCAGGCGGCUUGGUAAGUCGGAUGUGAAAACCCGAGGCUCAACCUCGGGCGUGCAUCCGAAACUGCUCGGCUAGAGGUAGGUAGGGGAGAUCGGAAUUCCUGGUGUAGCGGUGAAAUGCGCAGAUAUCAGGAGGAACACCAAUGGCGAAGGCAGCACUCUGGGACGUGACUGACGCUGAGACGCGAAAAGCGUGGGGAGCAAACAGG